GACGUAGGUGGCAAGCGUUGUCCGGAAUUAUUGGGCGUAAAGCGCGCGCAGGCGGUCCUUUAAGUUGGAUGUGAAAGCCCACGGCUCAACCGUGGAGGGUCAUUGGAAACUGGAGGACUUGAGUGUAGAAGAGGAAAGUGGAAUUCCACGUGUAGCGGUGAAAUGCGUAGAGAUGUGGAGGAACACCAGUGGCGAAGGCGACUUUCUGGUCUGUAACUGACGCUGAGGCGCAAAAGCGUGGGGAGCAAACAGG
rnacentral:misc_RNA from 1 species